ACGCUCGACACCUACGGAAGGCAGCAGUGGGGAAUAUUGCACAAUGGGGGAAACCCUGAUGCAGCGACGCCGCGUGAAGGAAGAAGUAUCUCGGUAUGUAAACUUCUAUCAGCAGGGAAGAAAGUGACGGUACCUGACUAAGAAGCCCCGGCUAACUACGUGCCAGCACGCCGACGGUAAUCUGAGGCGGGCUGGACAAGGC
rnacentral:rRNA from 1 species